UGGAGGAUGUUCUCUGGGCAGUGUGGUUUGCCCCAGCCAUAAAGGGAGGUAUUAGAUACGGCACGAGGAUGUGAGUGAUUAACCAUAUAUGAAAUUAUGAGGAAAAACCUUCAGUCUUUUGUGUUGGCUAAAACCUGAAAAAAAUGCAUGAAGAGGCUGGUGAAGGCUGGAAGGAUUUCUGUGGAUAAUUAGAUCAAUAUAUUAGAUUUGUGGACAGUUUAAGGAGCUAAAUUGUAAUGUAGUGACAAACGUGGCAGUAGCUGUGUGGGAUAAUUGCAGUGAGAACAGCCCUAGGCAGGAGACAAGGCUGGAGGGAAAAGCAGGGCUGAAGGAAUCUGCAUUUUAGGGAGGCAGAGCUUGUUGCUGCUGCAGUCAGGGACCGGUUUGCCCUUAAAUAACAAUUUUACCAUGAAAUAAGAGAGGGCUCUUGGGUUUGGUUUUGCUUUAGGUUUUUCUUCUGUUGGUUUUUGGUUGUUUGGUUUGUUGUUGUGGGUUUUUUUUUCCUUUGGCUGGUUUUUGGUUUGUUUUCUUCCUACACGCAUGGGCACCAGUGGCAAUUCAAAGCUUAACUCGCAGGGGCUGUGGCACCGGCGGUGUGAGGUCUAAUUGCCCCAAAGGAUGGCAGAAGGAUGUCACCACCAUCCUCCCCCCCGCCCUCCCCUUCCGAGCAGCCUGGCCCCCAGUCCUCUGGGUUGAAAGGCUGGGCGGACACGUCCAGGCUAACACUGCCGUUAAUUGAGGGAUUAUUAGAGUGGAGACACAUUUUUAAUCCUUCUAGUGCUGCCUGUGCAGGCAUUGACCUUCCCUGUCCCCCCUCCCAGGCUGUACGUCCCCGUCUCACCGUGUAACGCAGCAGCCUGGCAGCCCGACGGCGCCAAGCGUCGCCAACCUCGUUGUCGCUGUGAUUAUUAUUGCCGAGCUUCGGCCUUGCUGCACCCUUGUACCCGCUGCCCUUUGCCUAAAGCCAUGCUACUUCAGCUCUCACAGGUUUAGAUUGGAUUAACUCAUUAAUGCAAAAGGCCCGGGAGAGAUCUGGGGGCAACUGGAAAAACGAUGUUUCUCUCUCUCAUGGCUCCAUCCCACGUGGUUUCCCUACACACACGCCACAGGUCGCCUGAGCAUUUUUUACACCUUUUUCCAUCUGCCUGUCAUACACCCUCAAGAGCACAACAUAAGCAAAAUCCUGUGGUUGUUCCCAACGCUCCCAGUAAGACAGAGAGUGUCUUAUGGCAAAGGAAAGGCGGGGGGGUCAGAUGUAAUGGGCCUAAUGAAUAAUUAUAAAUGGAUCAAGACCUGUUCUUUGGGGCUAAUGAUGAAAAUAAAAGCUCACAGCUACAUGAGUAGUGCCAUUUAUUUUAGCACCGGUAAUAGCACUAAACUACAUACUAUUCCCAAUACAUUAUGUUAAAAUUACACAUAUUAGAUGUCUUUAUUGGAUUGUAAAAAAUAAUUGGACUAGCUUAAUAACAACUUCAAGUAGCACAAGCAAGAUCACAGAGAAAGCAGAAAUUACAUUUUCGAUACGUGUCUGGGGGCGCCUGCACCCUGUCAGACGUCCUGGAGGGGACGGUGCCACCGCAGGCUGCUCAUUUGACUUGGGGGUCGAUGUCUGUGACUAAGUAAAAAAGAAGGAAACUGUGGAUUUACCUUCGGGGGUACAGCCAGGGUCACUGCUGCCGCGUCGCUGCGUACAGCCCGUGACACACCUGGAGCCCUUCGGCUGUGGCUGCUCGGGUGGGGUGCAGCUUGUCUUCGUUUUACCUCAACCAUGAAGAGGAAUAAAGGCCGGGGGGACCAAAGUUAAUAAUGACGUUCGGGUCAGACGGACUGGAGCCACUGCGGUGCUGUGCAGAGGGGCUGGGGGGUUCAGGGAGCCCCUGGCAGUCAGUGCGGGGUGGUGGCAGAGCACAGCUCGGGGGGUCCCUUCCCCCCGGGUCCCUUCCCUCCUCAACACCAGAGCAUCUCUGUCCCUGACAGCAUCUCCCCCCUGAGGGUCCUGGGGAGACCCCGGACCCCCCGGCUCAGCGCAGCGCUGUCGAUACCCGACGCUCCGACCUCCAGGACUUCAGGAUCGUGGAUGAGGCCCAGGACGUCGGAGCGAAGGCAGCGACGCUACGAUCAGUCGUGCUCAGCAGCUCAGCAAGUCCAUACGCUAAAAUAUGUUUGCGCUGACGUGUGCUAAAUGAUUUUUGACAGCCCAGUACUGUCUAAAGCUCGCGGAGCUCAGUGAACACCUCCCAGGCAGUUCGAGGGGUUAAAUCCCCAGCAGAGCUUCUUCCCGCGUUCCUUCUGCUGCCCAGCUCUAUUUCAUGGGUAAAUGGACCUUCGCAGGAACCGCAGGUAUCGGCUUCCCAGUUCCGUCAGCACUAAAUCUUGAAAUCAGGGGAUGUUUUGCUUCAGUAAAGACUAAAUAAAAUCUGAUAAAAGGUUUUAGAUUUAGCAGCCUGGUGCAGCACAGGCACACCUGACUGGGAGUUGGAUAGGAUGAGAUGGUUUUAGUGCUCCUUGGCUACUGUUUACUGUGAUCUCUGGGGCAAAAUAACCCUGAUAGCUGCGCCUCGCUUUCUCCUCCCAUAAAAUGGGCGUAAUAAUAAAAAUACAUCUGGAAAGAUGCAAAAUUUAUGCCAUAGAGAGGGUGUUUACAGUAUUAACGUUUUUAGUGAUUUUUAACAAGUCUCUGAUGAAACCAUUUUUCUCAAGCUUUUCUUUGGGAGGCAGCUAAUUUGCAUGCAGUUCAAUUGCUUCCAGUUUUGUUUGUCUUGCUGUGCUUUAAAAAUCCUGAGCAUUUUGGGAUAAUUUGUCAGCCAUUAGUGAUAUUUUUGUCAUCGCAGUCCUGCUUCGUGACUCACUAUUGCACCAACAAUGCCAUUGCGGAGCAGGACGCAUUCGCAGCCUGACGAGUGCGCGGCUCCUCUUCCCGCUACGCUCAGUGGACGUUUUCUCGUUAGUUUAAACGGGGGAAGGAGCGGGUUUUUAUCAGAACGUCACCAGGCGCUUAGCAGUUCAGCUGCCCGUGCUCCACCACUGCGGGAGGGGGGUUUGCAGGGCAGGGUUUGUAAUUUGAUUUUUAUAUUUCAGGUGGAGAAGAAAAACUAACGUUUGUGUUUGGAGAAAGCCUUGAGCCGAGUGAUGCUCAGAUGGAGUUACCGGGGCUCGUGCUGGGGUGACCGGGGCGCUGUGCUGCCACUCCCCACGUGGCUUGCAGCGAGUCAUUUGGACCCAACAGAGCCCUGCUCGGGGUGCCCAGCACAGCGCACACGGACCCGGAGGGGACCUGAGCUCCUGGAGGGCUCGGCGGGGAUAAGUGGGAACCGUGUGGAGCUGCGGGGCUCCAGAGGCAGCGGUGACGCCCUCACCCAGCGCCCCUCGUGCGGGGCAGGGGCUUACCCCUGAUAACUCAGGUUCAGAGCUGGGUGCUGUGCCCUUUCCGUCCCAGGUAAUGUUUAAGAAAUAAAUACCAGAGUUUGUACAGGCAUCAAUGCUCAUUAACCACAUGGCUCGCAGGAUAUGCAGUGCCCUGUGUCAGUACUUUCCUUCAGAUAUAAAAAAAAAAGACUUUUUUUUUUUUUUUCUUCAAAAAAAAAACCCCACAACUUUCCUUUGAAUCUGUCGUGGCUUUGCUUUCCAGCCACAACGCGCAGGGGUGCUCAAAGGCUUGCCCAGUGCUGCAGCCCAGCUGGGCUGUGAAAAGGCUGUUUCAGGCUCACUGGUGGCUUCAAACAUCAUUUUCCAACAAAGACAUGCGUGGGAAUUACUGUUUCCAUGCUGGGAGUAUCUCCUCCUGCUGAGAAGAAAAUGCCCUUUGGACUCAGUGCUCUAAGUGUCGCCCGGACUUGCUGUCUCAAGAGGAGUUCACAAAAGCCGGGGAUCCAUCCGCGCGUGGAUAAACUGCCCUCUUGGCUCCUGGCUAGAUGAGUUUGGUCCUUCCCUUCGGAGGACCGUGGCUUCGGUGUUCAACAGUGUGGAGCAAAUUAUACCCAGAUUCCAGGGUUAAAGCCGUGCCAAGCACUUCAGUGGAGCCGGUCGCAAGGUUGAUGGUUUUGGUGUCAUUCACAAAGGUCAAGACACCUCUCGGACCAAGGGGAAGCUCCUCUGCUCUGCUCUGCGCCGCUCUCCGUGACUCUCCCACAGCCCUGGCUCUCACCCCUCCAGCUGAAGGGCUGCUCUCACCUCCCGCCUGGCAUUAUUUCUGUUCCUGGUUUGCUCCCCAUCUUGCCGUCCUCCACCCUGCCUCUCCCUAACUGGAUCUGCCUUUCCUCUGGCGAGCUCUCCCCCUCCCAGACAACGAACCAGGUUGGAAGAUGCCUCCGGAGGUCAUCCGGGCCAGCCUCCCCCUCACGGCAGAUGAAUUUCCCCUCCGGUUUCACACCCACCUCCACGAACAGCUGAGCUGCUGCUUUGUCAUUCUCCCCCCAGCCAUAAUGAUAUUGCUCCCAGAGACCAGGUGGCAGCAGGAGGGAUGGUUUUUUAAUAUACACAGCGUUCUCUCUCAGGUUGGGAAGAGACCUGAUCGAAAUCACAAUCAGGUCCUGGCUCCCUUAAUUUGGAGGGACCAAAUUGCUAAUUCCAGGUGGUUUUUUCCUUUGUUAAAAUUCUGCUAAGCUGAUGGAGUCUCUCUCGUGUUGUGGUUAAACAAGGAAUGGGUGGAUGAAGUAUGUAGCAUAACAUUUAUGCCUGAAGUCUAACAAUUUUUUCUGGUUUUCCAUUAACCUAUAAUGGCUUAUGUAUAUUCAUAUCUAGGCUUGAAAAUAAAGGGCAGAGUGGCCAAGAAGUGAGAGCUCAAUACCAGUGGUGGAGACAAGAUUUAUAUUUUAGGAAUUGUUCUCUUUCAGCCCUGAUUUCAAUUCAUCCCACCACACUUCUCUGCAAGAGGAGUGGGAUAUAGAUGGAUCACCGCAGAGGUGAUGUGUGCCGUCAGAACAAAGUGCCCGCACUGCACAGAGAGCCUCCUCCAUUCCUGCAGCUCCCUGUGCUGGGGCUGGAAGAGCGGCCAGAGAAGAAACAUCGGGAUGAUCACGGACAUCUUCAUGGCUUCGAGGCAGAAUUCCUUACUUAGCCCACGGGCUGGGCCGUGCAGCUCCCCCCAUGACGGGCAGCGUCCCCUUCCUCUGAGCAAGCGCACGCGAGGGGCUUGGCCCGGGUCACACACACACAAUGCCAAAUGUCUUUUUUUUUUGUCUUUGGUUGAUUUUUAUUUAUCAAUAAAACAAUACUACAAAACAUGGGAAACAUCUGCAUUAAACACAGAUCUGCUGUUACUUUGCCAGUUUUUAACCUGCUGUAUUUACAGAGUUCUCCCCUACAGACUUUUGGACAGCCGGAGCCCGAGGGGCUGGAGGACGGGGCAGCCCAGCUCCUCCGCACUCCGUAGCAGCAAUGGGAGUGAAAAGUCGAGCAAGAAGCGAGUAUCUACCUGCUGCUUUCUGCUCUCGCACGAGACAACCUCGUUGUCUCGGUUCCCUGCAGUAGGUCUCCUCUUUGCCCUGCCCCGGGUGCAGCGGGGAGCGGCUGCUGCUGGAGGGUGCAGAGGUCUGUGUCCCACCCGAGUCCUGCCCGGCGGUGGAAAGGAUCUUCCUUCUCCACCAGAUACACCGAGCAAGCUGCUGAGCUCCUCAUUUGCUCUGGUUUUGGGGCACUGUAGUAAUUUAUUCCCAUUCCUGUCAAGCCCACGAUGACUCGUGCGGUCGCCUCGCCCUGCCCGAAGCUGAGACCAGCGGCGGAGCGGGCGACGGGGGUACCCACCCCCCUCCCACCCAGACCUGCUCCUCUGCGUACCGAGUGCCCGGGCAGUUUGUCAUUUGGGGGGGUCAGGGGUUACAGCUGGGGAGAGGCGUCCCCUCCUCGGACAAGGGUCUGGACCAGUGAUGAGUCCGGGCCGUUCUUCCCACCACCUUCCAGGCACAGAGCCAGCCUGGGGCUGCUCGCCCCGGGGCUGCUCACAGGCGACUUAACUCCAUCAGCGAGAAAAAGAAAUAUACAUAUCUGUGUGUAUAGAUAUAUAUGUCUAUAUAUAAGCUCCUUUAAUUACAUAGUUGUAAGGCAGAUUAAAAUCAUUUUCUGAUAUCACCUGGUAUCAAAGGGAAGCUGUCCUACUUUCCAUGCACACCAUACAACGCUGUGUAGGGAAGGUAAUUAAGUCUUCAGUAAUUAUCAUACAGGUACUCUAACCUGAACAUCCAUUGCUCUUUCACACCUGCCGUGACACGAGAAGAAGACAAGACAGUACUCAGAAGUGCUAGGAAUAGCGAGUUCCUGUGCUAGAAAACCCGUGGGAAGCGGCAGAGCUGAGCCCCUGCUCGGGACAGAGCUGUGACCUCCCGGGGAGGGGACCCUGCCACCAGACCCCAGCUGCUUCUGCUUCGUCCUGCUCCUGUGCAGACUGGGACGACUGGGAGAGACGGGGGGUGAGAGCGGGGAGCUGGAGCCCGAGCCCGGGCUGGGUCGGACCAAUGACUCUGGACGUUUCUUUCUCCCCCUGUUUGCUGGAAUUUGUCUUCGCCUCAGCAGUCAGUAAAGAAGAACAAGUUGGGCUUUUUCUCUCGAUGUAAAAGGGAAGGAGGACAAUAUUCCCCAGCGGUUCAGCUUCUCUUUAGGUCUGUUACUAGGGCACCAGCCAGAGCCCUGCUGAGGGGCCCUGGGCUGGGACAGGAGAGGGCCGACCGCCCACCCCGCAGCCACAACGCUCUGUAACGGGGCGCGGUGGCGGAGCGCAGCUUCUCGAGAACUGCCACAACAUAGCCUAGGACAAAACAAAUUUAAUCAUAAUUAAAUAUAGUUGAAAGAGGUGCAGGAACAGGUAGAGCGCUACUGCUCUGCCUGGGGUCUCCUCAGCCACUGAAGGACGGCAAAUCAUUGUUACAAAACAAACUUUGAUCCUGAAUUGAUUCUUUUCAUUUUGUCUUUAUUUGCCCAGGCAAUGGAAACAGUCUAGGACAUCUAACUACACCUCCCCAAAGCUCGGGGGUCUUAAAGGCCUUUUUUCCUGUGACAAAUGAGUAUGCUCGUCCUCAGGGGCUCAGCCGAGCUGUGCUCUGACAGGUGAGUGCCUCCCCCAAGCCCCGCUGAAACCCCACAGCACGUCUUAAAGUGAGAUGCGAGCAAGUAGAGCAGCUUAAAAUAUUUUCAGCAAAAUGUGCUGUUUUGAAAAAUCCACAGUGUACUAUGAAGGCAUGUAGCUGUCGGAAGGAGCGGGGCUGUCUUUUGAUAACAGGUGCUCAGGUUUGUGAGCAGCGGCCGGACUCGCCGGGGCUCGCCGAGAGCCCAGCCACGCCUGCCGUGGGGCGAAAAGGGUGGCCAGGACUGGGAACAGGCUGUCAGCAGGUCCCCAGAGAUGAGAUUAUCCAGGAAUGGACGGCGAGUCUGGGAAACAGGCCUGGAUGGAAAAGAAGUGUGUGGAACAGGAACAUGCUGAAAUGUGCAAGAAUGCAUCCACUGCCAUUCUAAACGUGAAGGAUUCCAACUUCUGUUCCCACAAGUUCUCAUCUUUUUAAAACUGAACUAACUCAAACAAAAAAAGAGAAAAAAUGAGUGAAAUAAAUCAUUAUUAAUUUCUUUUUUGUUUGAAGUGAAACAUUUCUUUCAUUUUGGGAUAGAUGAAAUGAUAUUUGUAGCUUCACAUUAAAAAAAUAUUUUAAAAAGAAAACAAAAAAAUUCCACUUUCUGUUUAUUCCAAACCGUCA